AACGAACGCUGGCGGCAGGCCUAACACAUGCAAGUCGAGCGAGGACUUCGGUCCUAGCUGCUGACGGGGGAGUAACGCGGGGGAACGUGCCCUUUUCUUCGGAAUAGCCCUGUUAAACUGGGGGUAAUACCGGAUGAGUCCCUUUGGGGAAAGAUUUAUCGGCGAAGUAUCGGCCCGCGUUGGUUUGGGUGGUUGGUGUCGUAAUGGCCUACCACGGCGACGAUCCAUAGCUGGGUUGAGAGGAUGAUCAGCCACACUGGGAGUGAGAAGCGGACCAGACUACUACGGGAGGCAGCAGUGGGGAAUCUUAGAAAAUGGGGGAAAUGCUGAACUAGCCAUGCUGGGUGAGCGAUGAAGGCGUUAGGGAUGUAAAGCUCUUUCAGAUGCGAAGAUACUGACGGUACCAGAAGAAGAAGCACCGGCUAACUUCGUG
rnacentral:rRNA from 1 species